rnacentral:rRNA from 1 species
GUUAAAAGCUCGUAGUCGGAUUUCGGGGCGGGGCGACCGGUCUGCCGAUGGGUAUGCUUUGGUCGGCGCGUCCUUCUUUCCGGAGACCGUUUCUACUCUUAACUGAGCGGGGGCGGGAGACGGAUCGUUUACUUUGAAAAAAUCAGAGUGUUUCAAGCAGGCAGCUCGCUCUUGCAUGGAUUAGCAUGGGAUAAUGAAAUAGGACUUUGGUGCUAUUUUGUUGGUUUCGAACACCGAAGUAAUGAUUAACAGGGACAGUCAGGGGCACUCGUAUUCCGUCGAGAGAGGUGAAAUUCUCAGACCAAUGGAAGACGAACCACUGCGAAAGCAUUUGCCAGGGUAUGUUUUCACUGAUCAAGAACGAA